CGGGGUUGGAUUAGUGGCGAACGGGUGAGUAACACGUGGGCAAUCUGCCCUUCACUCUGGGACAAGCCCUGGAAACGGGGUCUAAUACCGGAUAACACUCUGUCCCGCAUGGGACGGGGUUAAAAGCUCCGGCGGUGAAGGAUGAGCCCGCGGCCUAUCAGCUUGUUGGUGGGGUAAUGGCCUACCAAGGCGACGACGGGUAGCCGGCCUGAGAGGGCGACCGGCCACACUGGGACUGAGACACGGUCCAG
rnacentral:rRNA from 1 species